CAACCAUCUCUGCAUGUGUUUGGUUGCCUGUACAUGCUUGCUUUUGUGGUUGAAACUCAAGUGCUUCCUCCCACACAAUGGAACAGAAAAUACUUUCAUUUCCUGAAAAGAUUGUUGCUGCAUCAUCAACUCCUACAAGUUUUCUAAAAACAAGUCAUACGUCAAGUUCAUCGUUGAAUCCUUAAUUCCUCGUCUAGUGACCAGUUUGACAUGUGUUAAAUGAAUGAAGAAAUAAGUACGGGCAAAGAUAGUUGCCUUGUUUCAAAAUAAAACUUUAAGACUAUAGCCAUUUCUUUUUUUAUUAUCUUUUUU
rnacentral:lncRNA from 1 species